rnacentral:misc_RNA from 1 species
AGGGCUAGGAUCUUAUGGGGAGGUAUACCGGGGAGAAUGGCAUGGAACGGAAAUUGCUGUAAAGAAAUUUUUACACCAAGAUAUCACUACUGAUGCCUUGGAAGAGUUCAUAUCUGAGGUCCGUAUAAUGAAAAGAGUACGACAUCCAAAUGUUGUUCUCCUUAUGGGGGCAGUAACUCGUGUGCCUAAUCUCUCCAUUGUCACUG